rnacentral:rRNA from 1 species
CGCGGAAUUUUAGAUAAUGGAGGGAACUCUGAUCUAGCGACGCCGCGUGCAGGAAGAAGGUCUUCGGAUUGUAAACUGCUGUGGUAAGGGUAAAAUGCUAUGUAGAGUGGAAAGCUACAUAGAGGGAUGGUACCUUACUAGAAAGCCCCGGCUAACUACGUGCCAGCAGCCGCGGUAAUACGUAGGGGGCGAGCGUUACCCGGAAUCACUGGGCGUAAAGGGAGCGUAGGUGGCCUAACAUGUCAACUGUGAAAACCCGGAACUCAACUCCGGACUUGCAGUUGAAACUGGUAGGCUUGAGGACGGUAGAGGAAGACGGAACUGCCAGUGUAGGGGUAGAAUCCUUAGAUAUUGGCAGGAACGCCGGUGACGAAGGUGGUUUUCUGGGCCGGUUCUGACACUGAUGCUCGAAAGCCAGGGGAGCGAACGG